rnacentral:tRNA from 1 species
GGAGGUGUAGCUCAGUGGUAGAGCACAUGUUUAGCAUGCAUGAGGUUCUGAGUUCAAUCCUCAGCACUUCCA